AAAAGAAAAACCACUCCAGGCCUUUACCAGUGACACAAGAGAAUAUAUGAAAACAUGCUUAUGUACAUUUUGGAUUAAAUUAAACAGGCAGAAUUGAUAAGGUAAGAGAUGCGUUAUGGAGGUGUUAGACUCAAAAGUUUACCCUUGAAUUCUAAUGUCACAGAUUCUGGCCAGCAGAUGAUUAUUAAUUAAUUUAAGCAAUCAUAAAUAUAAGUUUUUACAAAGGAAAAUACUCAAUAAUAUCCACACACCAUACGGGAUCUAGACCAUAAUUCUAAUUUCUUCCAGUUUCUACACUUGAAUGUUCUUGAGCUACUAGCUGGCUACAGCAAGUAACUACAAAUCAAUGAUUUUGGGUCUCAAUCUCACAAAACAAGCAAAUUAUAAAAUAUUUUGACACUACAAUAGUAGGUAAUGAAGUGUUAUGCCCCAUCUUUAAUCUAAUAUAACAUUCUAUGAAGUGUGAAUACACAGUAAUGUAGAUACAUGCACAAGACACAGGUUUCUAUCCUCUACUAAAAAAACAAUACUAAUUGUGAAAAUAAUACAUGCAGAUUUCAUAGGACCCAUCCUCCUUCCUUUUUGUCAAUGCAGUCCCUUCCCUUGCCAAUUACAUCAAUCCAUAUUAUGGGAUGCAGGGAUGAAAGAGUUCCAUUCUUUAGGUUUAAAAUGAACUAUAUAUUAAAUUAAAGACACCAGAAUCCAGUUAUCUAGAUAACCCAACCCUACAGAGUACAAACUGAAACUGAUGAGUAAUAGGAAUGAACAUUCACCAAUACACAUGCUAAAAUCUCGAAAUUAUAUUAUUAAUUACUCAACUCAAUAUGGUGUUUAGGUUUAGCACAAAACUGACAAACCUCACUAUUAUACUGUAAGAUGUAGUAGAUGGAAAAAGAGGCUCAUCAAUUAAUGGACACCCUACAUCAGCAGAAAUUUUAGCAUUUAAAACAAUUAAAUUGCCUGAUUAUAUGAACAAUCACUGCACAUUAUACGAAAUCCCAUUUCACAAUUUAAAUGAAGAUUUUAAAGGUAGCAAAUGAAUUGGUAUAGUUAUUGAAAUAAGUUACAAUUUCAGGGCUCAUUUCCUGAUACUUGACCUGAAUAGUAUUCUUUUCAUGACAAAGCAAUCCAGAAAAAGGCACGCAAAUAUUAUCCAGACUGACAAACACACUAAACCUGUAACCUUAAUCCCCUACUGAUCCUUUUGCUCUUCUCUCUCCAUGCCAGACACUAAAACCCAAUAGAACUUGAGAUUAAUACACACGCCUCCCAAACAUCAAAGGCUAGGACAAGACCUUGUAUUACUGCAGACUAAUAUUGGGAUGAAUACCAUGCAAAGGACUUACAUCACUGAAAUUUUAGCGAGACAACCAAACAGAAAUCUAAAGACCAUGUCAAACAGAAAUCUAUAGAAGUUCUAUGUCAUGUAAUUAACUAAGAAAUGAGAUCGUAUAUAAAUAUGCAUGUAUUAUUAUAUAAUUACAUAUAGAAACUGCGUAAAUGUUUCAGGCGAUCAGCUUACAUGUUCACAUACACAUAUCAACUUUCUAAACCUUAAUCAUGAGGAAGAUAAAGAGGAACUAGCUCUUGGCGGAAAGAAGACAUCCGAAGUACUGCUAAAUUUGAUUUUGAACAGCAUAUCUUAUCAAUUAGAUAAGCUUCCUAAGCUGCAAGAUCUAAAGGCUACUUUCAAGAUUACUUAAUUUAUCAAACUAACACAAAAAUCU
rnacentral:lncRNA from 1 species